rnacentral:pre_miRNA from 1 species
AUCCUACUCCCUCCGUUCCGAAUUACUCGUCGCAGAAAUGGAUGUAUCUAGAUGUAUUUUAGUUCUAGAUACAUCCAUUUCUGCGACAAGUAAUUUAGAACGGAGGGAGCAGAUU